GGGGGGGAAGGAGAGAGGCUCCCUGGGCAAAGCACCUGUCCCGUUAGCAGGGGCACAGUCACGUUUGAGUUGAGAGCUGCCGGCGCCUUUGGUGACCAGGCUGGCGUUGUGCUGGGCGACCUCCCCGUAAGCGGGGCUCGGGUCUUUGCUGUAGUUGGCCUUUUGCCUUGCUGCUCCUUUGGCUGCCUGGGGAGCGUGGCCCCCUGUAACGGAGGGCGAGAGCCACCUCUCCGCACCUGAGUGGGAAAUGGAGCUCGCCGGACCCCAAGGCCACCCUGUAAGCAGGGUAGUGCCGUUUCCCUGCCCCUCUUCCUCCCCCGGCCCCUCGGCAUCGUUGCCUGAUGGUGGCUUGUCAAUGCGACGGCCCCGUACUCGGGGUGUGUGUCCCAAGCUUUGGAGCCCUCUGUCCCUGAGCAGCCCGCCCGCCCUGUAAUCAGGUGUGGGGAGGCUGCAGCGUUGCAGCCGGCUGCUUUAGCCAUCCAGCUGGUGGGAGUGACCCCUCCCUGUCCCGUCAGAGGGUGCAGGUUGAGGUGCUGUUUGUGUGUGGGGUGACCUCCCCGCUCGGUGGGUCGAGGUAGCUCCCUGGGCUUCCAAAGACGAGACGUUGGUGAUGUUCUGCUGCUGCCGGGCGGGCCAGCCUGUAACUCAGGCGUUGGCGGGAGCCUCGUGCUCCGCGGGGCUUCUUGAAGAGGGUGAGGUGUGGGGGUACCGUCCUGUAGGCAGGGCUGUGUGUGCCCCCCGUGUGUGCUUGGUGAGCUGCGUUCUGAGAGACCCCCUGUACUCAGGUGGGAAUGUGGCCCCGGCCUUUCAGAGGCGCGGGGCCGUGAGAUGCGGGGUGGGGCUUGCGCCCUCCCUGGAAUCGGGGCUGGGAUCCCGACUGCGGCCUUUGGCCGUGCCGCCCCGCUGCCUGGCUGCUGAGAGUUGCUCCUGCCGCUGGGGGGGAAACCGAGCUCUGUGGC
rnacentral:lncRNA from 1 species